rnacentral:lncRNA from 1 species
AGCGAAUUCUAAAUUCUCCAAUAAUGGUAAAAAUAUCAACUUCAUCUUAUUUGAUGAAAUAUCAGGUAAUAGAACACCACCUAGCAACCGCAGCACCUGGCUCCUGACAUACUAUUGCACCAUCUCAUCUGGUGCAUCAUCCUCAAUGUGAAAAUAUCGAUAACGAUCAUCCAAAUAUUCUAUCCUCAGUCGUGAAUGAUCGAAAAACUGAGCCUCAGACUCAAACCCCAG